AGAAUUGAUCUGGUCAGGAUGAACGCUAGCUACAGCUAACACAUGCAAGUCGAGGGGCAGCAUGGUCUAGCUUGCUAAGAUGAUGGCGACCGGCGCACGGGUGAGUAACGCGUAUCCAACCUUCCCUAUAGUAGGGGAUAGCCCGUAGAAAUGCGGAUUAAUACCCUAUGUUGUAUUUUGAGGACAUCUGACGAAUACCAAAGGUUCACCGCUAUAGGAUGGGGAUGCGUCUGAUUAGGUAGUCGGCGGGGUAACGGCCCACCGAGCCAACGAUCAGUAGGGGUUCUGAGAGGAAGGUCCCCCACAUUGGAACUGAGACACGGUCCAAACUCCUACGGGAGGCAGCAGUGAGGAAUAUUGGUCAAUGGGCGAGAGCCUGAACCAGCCAAGUAGUGUUGCAGGAUGACGGCCCUAUGGGUUGUAAACUGCUUUUAUGCGGGGAUAAAGUGGGGGACGUGUCCCUUAUUGUAGGUACCGCAUGAAUAAGGACCGGCUAAUUCCGUGCCAGCAGCCGC
rnacentral:rRNA from 1 species